CUUGGUCAUUUAGAGGAAGUAAAAGUCGUAACAAGGUCUCCGUAGGUGAACCUGCGGAGGGAUCAUUAUGAAAUUUGUCGCCUCGGCGUCAAACGACUCUUCCUGUGUGAGCACAAGCUUGCUUUGGCGCCUCUUUGGCGCCAGAUUUAUGCGGAUUGGCUUUUGAAUCUGAAUAAAAAUUCAAAUUUAAAACUUUCAACAAAGGAUCUCUUGGCUCUUGCACCGAUGAAGAACGCAGCAAAGCGCGAAAUGUAGUGUGAAUUGCAGAACUUUGUGAAUCAUCGAAUCUUUGAACGCAUAUUGCGCCCCUUGUUACAGAGGGGCAUGCCUGUCUGAGUGUCUUUUAAACCAUAGACUCUGGUCUGUUUUGGGAGUCGCCUUCGAGUGUCUCCUCAAAGUCAUUGCUGUCGAGCGGAUGAGAUCCAUUAGGACAAACCCGUUUUGGCUGGCGUGCGGCUUUUCUCUGGCAGACCUCAGAUCAGGUAAGACAACCGCCUGAACUUAAGCAUAUCAAUAAGCGGAGGA
rnacentral:rRNA from 1 species